GAGUUUGAUCCUGGCUCAGAAUCAACGCUGGCGGCGUGCCUAACACAUGCAAGUCGAACGCGACCAGGGGCUUCGGUUCCUGGUUGAGUGGCGAACGGGUGAGUAACACGUGGGUGAUCUACCUUCGAGCGGGGGAUAACGUUCCGAAAGGAACGCUAAUACCGCAUGACGUCCUGGGUUUAAAGACCUGGAGACCAAAGCUAGGGACCGCAAGGCCUGGCACUUGAAGAGGAGCCCGCGUCCGAUUAGCUAGUUGGUAGGGUAAUGGCCUACCAAGGCGACGAUCAGUAGCUGGUCUGAGAGGACGGCCAGCCACACUGGCACUGACACACGGGCCAGACUCCUACGGGAGGCAGCAGUGGGGAAUUUUGGGCAAUGGGCGAAAGCCUGACCCAGCAACGCCGCGUGAGGGAGGAAAUCCUUCGGGAUGUAAACCUCACAAGCAAGGGAAGAGAGCUAUGGGCUGAAUAAUCCCAUGGUGCGACGGUACCUUGCGUAAGCCACGGCUAACUACGUGCCAGCAGCCGCGGUAAUACGUAGGUGGCAAGCGUUGUUCGGAAUUAUUGGGCGUAAAGGGCGCGUAGGUGGUUUGUUAAGUCGGCUGUGAAAGCCCGGGGCUCAACCCCGGAGGGUCAGCCGAUACUGGCAGACUAGAGUACGGAAGAGGUAGCUGGAAUUCCCGGUGUAGCGGUGAAAUGCGUAGAUAUCGGGAGGAACACCUGAGGCGAAGGCGGGCUACUGGGCCGAUACUGACGCUGAUGCGCGAAAGCCAGGGGAGCGAACGGGAUUAGAUACCCCGGUAGUCCACGCCCUAAACGAUGUCGACUGGUUGUUGGUGGGGUUAAACCCAUUAGUAACGAAGCUAACGCGUGAAGUCGACCGCCUGGGGAGUACGACCGCAAGGUUAAAACUCAAAGGAAUUGACGGGGACCCGCACAAGCGGUGGAUGAUGUGGAUUAAUUCGAUGCAACGCGAAGAACCUUACCUACCCUUGACAUGUACGGAAGCCUGCUGAGAGGUGGGCGUGCCCGAAAGGGAGCCGUAACACAGGUGCUGCAUGGCUGUCGUCAGCUCGUGUCGUGAGAUGUUGGGUUAAGUCCCGCAACGAGCGCAACCCUUGUCACUAGUUGCUACGCAAGGGCACUCUAGUGAGACUGCCGGUGACAAACCGGAGGAAGGUGGGGAUGACGUCAAGUCCUCAUGGCCCUUAUAGGUGGGGCUACACACGUCAUACAAUGGCCGGUACAAAGGGCUGCCAACCCGCGAGGGGGAGCUAAUCCCAUAAAACCGGUCGUAGUCCGGAUCGCAGUCUGCAACUCGACUGCGUGAAGUCGGAAUCGCUAGUAAUCGUGGAUCAGAAUGUCACGGUGAAUACGUUCCCGGGUCUUGUACACAC
rnacentral:rRNA from 1 species